GUUACCGCCACCGACGUAGCGUCAAACAGUUUCUUUAGAAACUAUCAGCCUUUAUUACUUGGUUCAUAGAUUGUUAUUAAGGAGUAAAAUAAAAACUCUCUAUCAUGCAUUUCGUCUAGUAAAAAAACUCAUGUAAUAUGUGUUUUUAGUGUAAAAGGGACUCUAACGUUCAUGAUGUCUAGCUUGAUUUCUAUGAUUCUAACCGUUUCGCAUAGCUAAAUGGUUUAGAAUGCAUAUUUACGUUAGUGUUCUCGAUUCCCAUUCACAACUGGGAAGUCGAGCGUUCAAGCCACUAAUUGAAUCAACUAUCAGGGUCUUACAAAGACAAAGGAAAAUAUGGUGCUUUUGGUACCACAUCUGCAAACGUUUAGAGAGUCAAGUGUUUUCGGAUAUAGAAAAUAAACCAGAGCUCUUUGCUUCUGCAUCUUGUCUGUACUGGUUACCAAAGAACCUUAAAAAAAAAACACGCGCACUUGUCGCAGAGAUCAGGGAACAAAGCUCCUCUUGCUGUGGUCUAGCCUUCAUCAAAUUAGUCUGACAAAGUCGGCGACAUUAAAGUGUUUUACAAAUAGUCUGAGGUCGCGAAUAUGGCACUAUAAAAAAACCUUUUUAUCAAUACUACAAUCAUUGAAUUGUCAGUGGGCGUAAGGCCACUCCAUGUGAUUUUAGGAAUUUUAUUCAUGAAACGCUAUUUAGGGGAAGUAUUGAAGAAAAUUCAUCCCAUUAGCGCUUUUAUCGUCAGAGAAGGAAGACCUCAGUAAUUUAAUUUGAUGUAGAAGACAUUCUGCAGCUGGUUAAAGAUAUGAAAGGUUGUUUCUUUGCUAUGUGUCUGCUGGCCAUUUGCGUCAUUUUGGCGGAGUCUGCGCCGGCGCAACAUGAUGAUUGGGAUCCGGAGUUAUUCCAGAGGGAAGCUAGGUGCCUACCACCUGGGGGUGAAUGUAACCGUUCCAGUGAUUGCUGUGGAAGUACUGCAGUCUGUUCAUUUGAUGGCCAUAAAAAGCAGUGUGCUUGCUACAGACGCGUGCAACUUGGAGAUUGCGUUUAAUUGGCUAAGACAGAGGGCGUUUCAUCAUUACUUUUUGUAAUUUACCUGGGCAAAGUUACCUGAAAUCGAAAAUAAAACAACUUUGUCUUAAAUAUUAUUGUAGUUUCAUUGAUGGCAAAUGCUUUUAUAGCAGAGUUGUUUCAUUGUUUUAGCACUGUUGUAUACAAAUAAAAUUUGGCUUAGCUGC